CGCCUCUGUGUUGCCCAUCUGCCUUGCAACUGGCAGACGAGGUGUCAAUUGAGGCAGAUAGAAAAGCCCUGGGCAGGUCCGCCUGCCUGAGGCUCUCCGGAGGCCUCGGGCUGGGAACUUCCCCGGAACAGGC